CUAAAAAAUUUAAGCGGCAAUUGAAAAAAAAAUCAUUAUCUCUCCUCAAUCUUUUCUCUCGCCAAAAACCCUUUGCCCGAUAGUCAACAUCCAUCUCCAGCCUUUGUUUCUCUCCAUCUCCACCCUUUGCCCGAUACACUACUUUCUCUUCCACACUUCCACCUCUUCAGUUCUCAUUCACUUUCUUUCUCUUCAUCUCCACGUCACUCUUUCACCUCGACCCCCUCUCUCUUUCGUCACUUUCACUCCUCUGCCUCUCUCUCCCUCCUCGACGAAGCCCUAAUGCUCUCAGUAAGAUAAUGACAAGUGAUAUGCGAUAGUUCAACAAGAUGAUGUUGCAAUCACUAAGGCUUUGGGGUUGCACAAGAUUAAGAAACGUUAAUGGGUUAUUCUAAAACUUAUGCAGAUUGUGAUGGUGGGCGUGGAUUGAUAAGCUAAGCUCGGUGAGGAAGAAGAACCAAAAGAUCAAUGGAAGGGAAGUAAAAGAAGAAAGAAAAGAAAGAAGGGGAAAGAGAGAUAUCGGGCCAAACCAAUAUUGAAACAAGGAGAAAUUGAAAAACUGAUUGAUCCAAAGCUGGGAGAGGCCUAUGAUGUUACUCAGCUGAAAAGACUUUCCUUUGCUGCAUCACUUUGCAUAAGGUCACUCACAAAAUGGUGGCCUACCAUCACCAAGGAAAAAAAAAGGCUUCGCUAUGAUGAGCUCAAAAUUCUUGUUCACUAAUGGUGCCUCCUAUGUUUGGGAUCCAAGAAAAUGGUGCUCAUUUGGCUGUGGUGGAUCCUGGGAGGGAAGCUGCAUCUGCAAAGUACUCUGAUUGGGUAAGACUUACAGAUAAGCUGCAUCUCAUGAUGAUCAAUGACCUUAAAAGAGAGUCAGUUGCUUUCCAUGAAAUGUUUAUCAGAAGUGAUGAAGUUCCAGGGGACUCAUUUCAAAAGAUGCCGUCCUAACCCAGCAAAUGAUGCCCCUGAAAGUGAUAAGGACUUGGUUAAGCACAGAUCUCCUGUUAUUCCAUAUGAUUUUAGGUGCCCAAUAUCACUUGAGUUGAUGAAAGACCCUGUGAUUGUCUCCACUGGACAGACAUAUGAAAGAUCCUGUAUUCAAAAGUGGAUAGACAUACCUGGCAGUACCAGGGAUUGUGUGUCCUCGUCCAGUAACAGGUCUACUCUAGUUAUUUUUAUUUUUUAAUAUAAUGAAGAUAUCUACUUUUAGGUUGGUGGUUUAUGGCUUGUUCAGAGAUUCAAAUGGCUGUAAAGAAUGAAGAUUAUGUAACUAUAUGGGUGUCUAAGAUAUGGAAAGACAGUCACUUAACAUUUUCAGUAUGCAACUUCUAGGGGCUUAGGUUUGUUUUCUAUAUACUUAAUUUCUCUGCCAGAACAUUAUUUUACUAUAGGACAUAAUUUCUUUUCAGCAUAUAAAUCAAUAUUAUUAAUGCUCAAUGCCCUUGGUAUACAAAUGUGUAUAUAUAUAGAUAUUUAUAUACAAGUUUAAUUGAGUUCAAAUAUAUCACUGAGAAUUUUGUUGCUGUAGAUGAGAAUGCUUGAUUUUUUUUCACUUUUGGUAAUUGGAAUGAUGGUGGGAACCAAGAUAUAGAAACAUUUUAAAGUUAGAUACUUAUAGUCUAAAGAAGAAGAAACUAAAGAAAGCAUUAAUAUUCAUGUACAGAGUCAUUAGUUAUCAUAAGACAUUUUACUAUCCAAAAAGAUAACAACUCACUAACAUGGCCCUAGCCAUUUGCAGUCACAUAUUGGCCUAUGGUUUGAAUUUGGUCUUCUUGUCUUAUAUAACUGAACUAUUCACGAACAAUAUCAUCAAUUCAUUUUCUUUCUUAUGCUAUAAAUUAGUGAUUCUGUUUUUAUAUGAGUUGCAUGACACAACUUUGUUUCAAUGUUUCUGGUUUUAAAGAAUUGUCCAUCUGAGCAUUACACACUCUAAUAUCAAUACCUCAUGAUUAACACUAUCUGCAACUUUUGAGGCUUAAAUUAUACUUGAAAGUUAUCUUUGUUAUAUUACAGCUUUAUUUAACUUUUGAGGCUUAAGUUAAAAAAAUUGAUGAGAAAUAAAGAGACUCUAGUUUGUUACAGUAGAUGAUCUAUAAAAAUAAAGGUCUCUCCCCAUCUUUCUGUGCUAUUGGGGGCUAUUGUUUCUCAUCAUUUUUCAGUUUCUGGUAGAGGAACUUGAAAAAGAGAUAGUUUUUGUUGUGCCAAGUAUAUCAGGAAGAACACCACAAAACAGAAGCUUUAAUCAAGAUACAAAUUUAAAGACCAAAAAAAUUGAUCAAACAAAUAACAGUAAAACAAAGAAUAACAAAAUAACAGGAAACAACACACCAGAAUUUACUUGGUUCGAACUAGAGCAAAAUUGCUACUAGUCUACAUCUAAGGGGCAGCCACUAUUAUUGAUUCUUUCUUGAUUGUGAUAACUGUCAGUGAUAAAUUGCUAUAAACUUGAUUGCAAUAUCUUCUGAUAGAACAAAGAAGGUUAUGAUACUUUUACUUCUUCAUGGAUUAACAUAUAUUGGAGUUGUGACAAUAAUAUUAUUGAUUUACGCAGGUAUAUGUAGAGGUUUUUGCAGGAGCAAUGCUUUUAUUAGCUGGAGCACUAGCUUGUUCUGGAAUAUUACUAUGCCUGAAAAUGAGCAAAGUCAGAACUGAAAGAGCUUCUUCAGAGCUUUGGAAGAGAUUUCUCAACACCAUGAAAGCAGUCCAAGGUGCUUUGAUAGUAGCAUCAAGCAUACAGAUUAUCCUAGGAUACAAUCAAAUUUGGGUCGUCUGUUCUUGGUGGUGUGUUUUGCUUUAAUGGGCAUUGGCAGCUCAUUUCAUGCUCAAGAAACUGCUGUGAGUGGGUAAUUGGAGAGUCGAGUGUGGUUCUGGCCUUCGGGUACUGUGUGACUUCAGGCCAUCAACUACAGAGGUUAACAUAACAAUAAAGCUUUUACUUGUGUUGCUUUUCUCGACAGUGGAGUUUUGUUGUCUCAGUUCACGUUUUGGUGGCAUGAUAGACAUGGAAUCUGUCGAGGACGUGGCUAAUAUUUCUAAUGUGUCUAGGAUUACUACCCAUUCUUUGCAACUAUACAGUCAUUGUUGACCACUGGACCGUCUCCCUGCAACUGUACAGUCAUUGCAAUUGUUGUUUAUUUCUUUGUGUUGAAAGUAGUAACUUUUAACUAUGUUGAAUAUUUAAGACUCCUUGAAUACUUAAAGAACAUUUUGUUGUUGAUGAUAGUGUUGAAUGUUUUAAACUAAUUUGUGGAUUGUUAAUACAAUGUUUAAUGUUCUUACUUU